rnacentral:rRNA from 1 species
GUGAGAAUGUUGGCAUCAGUAGCGAGAUGUGGGUGAGAAUCCCACAGGCCGAAAACCUAAGGUUUCCUCAGGAAGGUUCGUCCGCUGAGGGUUAGUCGGGACCUAAGCCGAGGCCGAAAGGCGUAGGUGAUGGACAACUGGUUGAUAUUCCAGUACCACUACCAUCGUUAUUAUCGAUGGCGUGACGCAGGAGGAUAGUGUGUGCUAGCUAUUGGAUGCUAGUCUAAGCGUUUAGGCAGUGAGAGUAGGCAAAUCCGCUCUCAUAAUGCUGAGGCGUGAUGGGGAAGGUUCUACGGAACCGAAGUACAUGAUUCCACGCUGCCAAGAAAAGCGUCUAGAGAGAGAAGUAGUGCCCGUACCGCAAACCGACACAGGUAGGUGAGGAGAGAAUCCUAAGGCCGGCGGAAGAAUUACAGUUAAGGAACUCGGCAAAUUGACCCCGUAAGUUCGCGAGAAGGGGUGCCUACGAGAGUAGGCCGCAGAGAAUAGGCCCAAGCAACUGUUUAGCAAAAACACAGGUCUCUGCUAAAGCGUAAGCUGAUGUAUAGGGGCUGACGCCUGCCCGGUGCUGGAAGGUUAAGGGGAACACUUAGCGCAAGCGAAGGUGUGAACUUAAGCCCCAGUAAACGGCGGCCGUAACUAUAACGGUCCUAAGGUAGCGAAAUUCCUUGUCAGGUAAGUUCUGACCCGCACGAAUGGCGUAAUGACUUGGGCACUGUCUCAACUGUAAAUCCGGCGAAGUUGUAGUGCGAGUGAAGAUGCUCGCUACCCGCGAUUGGACGGAAAGACCCCGUAGAGCUUUACUGUAGCUUAGCAUUGAGUUUUGGUAUUGUCUGUACAGGAUAGGUGGGAGACUAGGAAACCAGGGCGUCAGCCUUGGUGGAGUCAACCUUGGGAUACCACCCUGACAGUACUGAAAUUCUAACUGGCGGCCAUGAAUCUGGUCACAGGACAUUGUUAGGUGGGCAGUUUGACUGGGGCGGUCGCCUCCUAAAAAGUAACGGAGGCGCCCAAAGGUUCCCUCAGAACGGUCGGAAAUCGUUCGAAGAGUGCAAAGGCAGAAGGGAGCCUGACUGCGACACCCACAAGUGGAGCAGGGACGAAAGUCGGGCUUAGUGAUCCGGUGGUACCUCGUGGGAGGGCCAUCGCUCAACGGAUAAAAGCUACCUCGGGGAUAACAGGCUGAUCUCCCCCAAGAGUCCACAUCGACGGGGAGGUUUGGCACCUCGAUGUCGGCUCGUCGCAUCCUGGGGCUGAAGUAGGUCCCAAGGGUUGGGCUGUUCGCCCAUUAAAGCGGCACGCGAGCUGGGUUCAGAACGUCGUGAGACAGUUCGGUCCCUAUCCGUCGCGGGCGUAGGAAAUUUGAGAGGAGCUGUCCUUAGUACGAGAGGACCGGGAUGGACUGACCUCUGGUGUACCAGUUGUUCCGCCAGGAGCACAGCUGGGUAGCUAAGUCGGGAAUGGAUAAACGCUGAAAGCAUCUAAGCGUGAAGCCAACCUCAAGAUGAGAUUUCCCAUAGC